GUCUACAGCCAUACCACCCUGAAUGCACCCAAUCUCGUCUGAUCUCAGAAGCUGAGCAGGGUCAGGCCUGGUUAGUACUUGGAAUUGAGAAAAGAUCACAUAUGAUAGAAUCCAUGUAUAUGGAAU
rnacentral:rRNA from 1 species